GUUUCUUUCCAUCUCCAUCAGAGAAUAAGCAAUAUUUCCUGCAAAUCAUGGUUUUCUAAAGCUCUAAUUUGCAUACUGAUCAUGGGUUUCUAAACAUAUUAGAAGUCUUUGCUACUCAUGAUUAUUCCUAGAUCAUCAAAUCGGUUGUGUUUGUGGGAAAUUGGAAGCUAAUCAACAUCUCUAUCUCUAACUUCCCCGUCAACGCUUCAUCACACAAUUGCCUCAUUUAUCGUUGAUCUAGGUCUAGCUGUCGUCUUCUCUACCUACCUUUCCUGAUUCUAACUUAACAACUCUAAUGGAAGAGUUGAUGGCAGCUGACAAGUACACCCAUUUGGCAGCUAUUCGAUUUGUUUCUUUAAAAUGGUAACAGGAGUGGAUCUUGGACGCAGGUGUCGUAACUAGAAGUUUAGAUGUCAUCCACUUUUGUUGGUUUGCAACCUAGUCGAAGGUUGUGUUUUAAAAACUUG
rnacentral:lncRNA from 1 species